GAGAGACAGUACCAAGGGAGCGUCAAGCAAUCGAGAGGGUGGAUGCUAAUCAGAACUUUCUUCUUCCCACGAUUUAAGCGAAAGGUAAACACUGGCCGCCGUCGCCGCUUACCUCUGUUAACAUUAUUACACCCCAGGGAAGUGAGCUCCUCCCUAGCCUCGCCGCAUGGCAGCAGCCGUAGCAGCAGCGAAAACUGCCCGAGCCGCCGCCAACGGCGGCAACAGUUCCUUCAGUCCUUUCCCGGGCGGCAGCUUUACUCGGCUUCGCUGGCUUCCCCCCGACCCGGCUGCUCGCGACGGACGCGCCGCCAUCUUGGAAGAGCGACGGCCGCGUCUCCCGGCGACGUGCGCUCCCAUUGGCAGACGCGGGAGCCGCCGACGUCUCGUGACUGUCUCCAUAGCGCCGGCGCGUCGGGGAGCGGAGACUGGCGUCCGGCGGCGCACUAGGAUCCGGCGGCUGAGCUACUAGGGUACGGCGCUCAGGCCGAAGAGGGACCGCGGGGCGUGGAGAGAGGCCCCAACGCCAGGCUAACGAAGGAGCCGGCACGCACGCCAGCGAGAACCGCUUGUCCUCCGCCGCACGCCGGGGUCGGCUGGCCCGGGGGUGGAGCGAGAUCCACAGAGGCCGAGCUUUUGACUGCUGGCGUAGCGGAGGUCGCGCGUCUCGGGCACCAGGCGGCCGCUGUCCGGUAGAGGAGCUUCCCCCUCGCAUUGCCGUGGCCCCCGCGCCAAACGAAGUGCACUCGGGAGGUUCGGCUCGCUGCACUGUCCGGGCCUUAAUUAAGAUCCUAAAGUACUUCCUGCUCUGUCGCUCUCUCCUAAACUUUGACAGAAACUUUCCUAUGUCUGUACCAAUCCUCGGCGAGUUCUUGACUGGGGUACGCGACUGGUUGUGGAAGCGAUACGGGGCGUAUCAGCUUUACCCAGAUCCCAGCAGUUAGGACUGUCGCUGAUUAGUUGAUUGGCCGGCACCUGCAUAACAAUGAGGGCUUAGAAAGCUAUAUAAAAAAAAAAAAUUAAAGUCACUUUUGUUUUUUAACAGCCAUCUCUUCUGCUUUACUGGUUUCUUGACCCUCUGUGUUUGUCGGGGUGAGUAAUUUUAGCAGGUGUCAUUGUAAUGAGUCUCAACUUCAGUGGGCCAGAACUCUGGAACGCAGUGUAUCUAAAAGCCCCUGAAAUAACAUUCUAAACCUGCCACUGGUUACAGUGUUUGGAAUUGGAGGCAGUCACUUCUACCUCAGUUGCAAUGGAAGUAGCUUACCUGAACCUGCUGUGUUACGCACUUGUAGAAACCAGUUCCUUAAAAAAUUGAGAAGUAGAUGUUCAGAUUUGACAUACAAAAACCACCUUCCUUUUUUGUUUUUACAAGGGGUACAAAGGCAUUAUGGAAAACUAAAACUAGUAGUAGUUCCUUUCCCUUUGCCAGACUCACCCCCCAUUUCCGUUCCUGAAUAAUAGUACUAUUGAGAAAAAUGAAACUUACUUUAAUACAUUGCUUUCAUCUCAAAAUUAAGUAAAGAUAGUGCAAACCUCAUGCUACCUCUAUACUAUUGCAUCCUUACCAGGGAAACAAAAUGGUUCAUUUAGAUUGGCAGGAAUUAAAGAAAAAUCCCGAUUUUAGUCCCCUCAACUAAUUGAGGCCAAGUAGUUGUUUUAAUCUACAUCUGAUACGUAAUUUCCAUAUUUCUGUUGCAGCAAAAUUCUGACCUCUGCCACACAAUAAAAUGUGUUGGUAUUGACAAAUUAAACCAUGAAUCGGAAAUAAGAUUGGAAAAUACUACUGAGACUAACAUUAAGGGAAACCAAGAGAUACUAGAGACAACAAGGAACCUGGAAAAAGAUACUGUUCCAACCUGUAAAUAAGAAGACAGGGAGGCUCAUUAAUAUUUAAGAUUCCAGCUAGUGAAUUAAAACUAAUUUAGGGGUCUGGCUUGAGUAUUUAAUUUUCUUCAUAUAUUUUUCUAAUACCACAAGCAAGACAUUUUCACAGGUUAUGUAGAGACACAACUUGAGGUUUAUACCACCCAAAAUAGGACAUAGGUAUGCUUUUAAUAUUUAGGUGUAUCUACAUACCUCAGAACAAGCCAAAAUCAUCAGCUCCCAGCUUUCUCAGCCAGGGUCGUUUCUGUGACCUAAAAAACCUUGUUAGCUAGCCUACCAAAUCCCUACAGUCACCUCUCUGACCUCAUUUCUACUAAACACUUUGUUCCAGCACCACACUACUGUAACUGCAGGGCUUCCUCUUGCUCUGGGGCCUUUGCACUAACUAUUCUCUUUAUCUGGAAAGAUCUUUCCGUGAGAUACUGCGUGGCUAGCUCCCUUACUUCUGUCCCAUCUUUGCUCAAAUGUCACCCUUUUCCAGGAAGCCUACUCUGACCAUCUUGUUUAAAAUGUUGCCUUUUCUCUAGCACCCUUUCUUGCUUCAGUUUUCUUAAUAGCACUUAUAUCUUCUAACAUAAAUACUACUUCUCUUAUUGUCUGUCUUCUUUCUACUAGAAUGUGAGUUACAUGAGGUCAGGAUUUUUCUGUUUUGUUCAAUGAUCUCUUCUCAGUACCUAUUCUAGAAUUCAAGAAUAGUGCAUGGCACAUAAUAGACAAUAAAUAUUUCUUACGUGAAUGGGUGAAUCACUUCCUAAAAGACCCAAAAAAGAAUAAGCAUAAUUAAACCUGCUAAGAAACAAAAUCCUUGACAUUGAAAGAAAAAUUUGUUUUUAGAUUGGCCAUUGGUUGUUAUCGUGCAGUUAUGGGGAAGAAUUACCUUAUUUUUCAAACUAUAAGAUUCACUUUUUUCCCCCAAAAUUUGGGAGGAAUAAUGGUGGUUAAUGUUGCUAUUGAGUUCUCUUUACAUUUACAUUGGUGAGAUAUUAUGUUGUUUAUGUUAUUAAGUAUUUUACCACAUUUUUUUGCUUCAAAAAAUUUUUUCCUAUUUUCCUCUAAAACCUAGGUGCGUCUUAUGGUCCGAAAAAUACAGUUAGCUACACCUUUCCCUUCACCAUAUACAUUGCAAAUAUUUUCAGUGGUGGUAAUAGGAGGAAAGAUAAAGGUAAAAUAUGUUAAAAACAAACUCAUUUUAAGCAUGCACCAAAGUUGUCAUGCUAGCAAAAGAAUCAACAAAGUGAAUAAGAUAAUGUCAUUUUAGACUUAUGGAAAUGUAGUUUUGUAGUUGGGAAAGAAUGCUUACAGAAGCAACUAGCUUUAAAAAAAUAAAAGUACCUAAUUUGGUAGAGAUUGCAGUUUUAUUCCUUGUGAUCUUAAAAACAUCAUAUCAGUUGUUACAGAGGAAACCCGGGACAGGCUGAGCUGAGAUGCUGAAUUCUUUGGCUGUCAGUCAAAUGUAAGACAAAAUAAAACAAUCCAUCUUAAGAAACACACACUAAGGAUACAUCUGUGUCUAUCAUUCCCAAAUGUAUGAUCCUACAAUAGCCGUAUCCAAUCUGCCUGAUUAACACAGGAAGGGAUGACAAGAAGAGGUCACAGGCAAAAAUCAAAUGUCUGAUGCUUUCAAACAGGCCACUGCCAGUGAUUUCUAAACCUCCAAACAACAAUUCACAACGUCCAGUUUGCUUAUUUGUUAGUUUUUUUUAAAUCUUCUACAUAAUGAGGUUGGCACAAAUUUGCUAUAAUUCCUUCUGAGAAACUGGCGAAGUAUAGAAUCAACCUCCCAAGCAAAUUGCAUCUAUCAAUUGUCAUAUUCAGUCUUUUGAUUUCUCAAAUCAUGUCAUUAACUUCAGUUUCUUCAUAAUGUAAUAUCAGUGUCACCACCUCCACAGAAUGUUCAAUAGUACUAUGCCUUCGUUAACAAGGUCCAGUAUUGAAGUAAAAUCUUACCAACAGAGGAGACACUUUCUAAGAAGGGACAACAGCAGGAGAUCCCUGUUCUUUGUUACAGCUCAGUGUAGGGCCACAGUAAGCAGAAAUCUCAGGGCCUUUAUGCAUGAUCUGAUAUCUACCUCAAACAGCCCAGCAUGCACUUAUAUCUUGUGUGGUACUUUUUGAGAAAAUACUAAGGCAAUUUAAGCCUAACACAGACAAAUGAUAUGAAGCUUUCCUUGCAGCAGCUGCAGCCAUAAAAAUAAUGUUCACAAGUCUCUUCAAUAAUAGCUCGAUGAAACCAAGAUCUAAAGCAAAAGGACCAUGUUAUUUAUAUAUGCACAUAAUAAUGAUAAUAUACAUGUCUAUAGUAUAUUUCAGAAGUAUUACUAAAUCACUGGCAAUACUUUAUAAAAUAAGUAUUUUUACAUCACAAAAACGACCCAAGGAAUUUUUCAAACAUUUAAUUAUCAAUUAUGAAUAUUAUUUUUCAGAUCUAUUAUGGGCCAGUUGCUAUGGGAGGCAUUUUAUAUAUAUUUAACAGUUGAAAAAGGCCAUCACAGUAGAUCUUAUUACCCUCAGAGGUGAUGAGAGGUUUAGUAACUUGCCCCAGGUCACCUAUCAAAAACACAAACUAUUGGCAUGAUUUAUUAGUUGACUUGGACUACCUGGCUGAGGUGGUGUUUCCAGGUUUCUCCACUGCAAACUUACUCUUUUUUCCCCUUCACACUGUACUCCUUGCAAGGAAGUUACUAUGUGCAGCCUACUCUUAAUUAGGAAUUUAUGCUCCUCUUCCUUGGGGUGGAGUAAUCCACAUAAAUUAUUUGGAAUUUUUGCACAGGAAAUUUUCUCUUCCACAUUUUACCAAAUCAGUCAUUUGUUUAUAUUAGUAUGAACUCGCAGAUAUUUAUUUUAUACUUCAGGUUAAAUUCACUACUCUUUCAUUUUGUUCCUCAGAUUGUUCCAGCGUUGGCUACUGGGAGCUCUUUCAAUUGUCCUGUAUUUUUUAAAUAUCUGUCAGUGUGAGGUGAUUUUCUGUUUUCAUUUUUGAGCAUUCCUUACUUCCUGGUACAACAUUAUACCUAGUUCUUAGUUCUAGAAUCAGCUGCUUCUCUAGGGAACUUUGGUUCUUUUACUGAAUAGUAUUAGAAAUCAAGAUGUAGGCAUUAGAUGUGUUCUUUAUACUCACAGUGCCCUUUUUUUUUCAGCCCUUGCAGUUAACAAAGCAAGGACCCUAUAUGGGUGCACUCUAAUCCAUAUAUAACAUAUCCACCUGUAAAUACUUCUGUAUGGAACGAUCUGUAUAUUCAGCUAAACAUACAUUUACUGAUGUGUCCAUUACCAGAUGGACCAUUCUAGGAUGGAUCAUCUCCUCUUUGCUAGUUUGUAAAAUCCCACGCCAACAGUGAGAAAACUGGUUAGUACCAUCUGCCAUCCAUGUACUUAAUUGUUCAAUUUCAGUGCACAUGUGUAGCAGUAUUGUUAAUCAAUACCCUCUUGCAAAAAACGACUUUAUGAACUAGAGUUCAAUGUCCAGACAUAGUUCCCUUUGUUUUGUCUUAGAUACUUCAGUUAGUUCCAAAAUUGCUUAGUUCAGCACCUUCCUACCCAUCCCCUUUAUGAUGUUGUUUCAUAAAUCUGUAAUAUUGUUAGAUUCUCUUGUUGCUGUCCACUUUCUUGAGAUUCCCCAAACUUCUAAAUGAUUUGAUUUUUUAAAUUGUUACUUUUUUGUGCCGACUUUUGAAAAAAUUGUAUAUUAUGUCAUACAGAAUACUAUAACAUAAAGGGAAAUGCAUAAUAAAAUUACUUUUAUUAGGAAAAAACUCCACUUGUAUAUAAAUAGUGAUAUCAAUAGGAUCUAUUUAUACACAUAUAUAAUAUUAGAUGUAUAAUUCUCUAUAAUACCUAAUGCUAAGUUCUUACCAUGUGCCAGGCUCUGUUCUAAAUGCUGCACAAUAACCCAAGGCUCAGAAAAUUAAUAUUUUUGCUCAAGUUAAUACAAUAUUGAGUGGAAAAAAAUAUAUAAAUCAGAAUUAUAUAUGUAUAUAUACUAUGUCUUUAAGUAUAUUGAAUCAGUUAACUUUAAAAACUAAAAAUUUGCAAUGAUCUUGUCCACAAGUUCUUAUAUAAAUCAUAAGAUGAACCUUUGACCUCCUGUUUUUGCUUCCAGCCAAAGGAGGAAAUGAGAAAAGGAAUCCGGGCUCAAAGACAAAACCUAGUACGUCCCCAUAGUUAAGGCUUACCUCAGCUAGUUCCAUUUUUACAGAGUAAGGGUGAAAUCAAAGACUGCUAUUGUAUUGCUUCCUACUUACUAGUUUAACAACUAAGGCUAAAAACUAUGAUUAGUCUAAGAAUCAUUACUGUUUUUAAAUGUAAUGUAUUGCAUUAAUUGGCACAAAGUUACUUUGACCUGCCUUCGUCUUUAAAUAUAUGAUCUUUCUGUUUCUAAAAAAAAAGUUUAAGACUAUUUGUAAUAGAUGUACACACAACUAAGUGGAAGCACUAUUUGACGUGUUCCCAACAAUACUGGCUGUGGAACAAAAAGAAUAAAAGCCUGAGAAGAUUUGCACUGUGGUUCUACCUUUGCAAUUAAACAGGAUUAAACCUUCUAGUGAAAAUUCA